GAUGAAGAACGUAGCGAAAUGCGAUAAGUAAUGUGAAUUGCAGAAUUCAGUGAAUCAUCGAAUCUUUGAACGCACAUUGCGCCCGCUAGUAUUCUGGCGGGCAUGCCUGUCCGAGCGUCAUUUCAACCCUCAAGCCCCCGGGCUUGGUGUUGGGGACCUGCGGCUGCCGCAGGCCCUGAAAACCAGUGGCGGGCUCGCUGUCACACCGGGCGUAGUAGAUUUUAUCUCGCUCAGGGCGUGCUACGGGUUCCGGCCGUUAAAAAGCCUUUUUUACCCAAGGUUGACCUCGGAUCAGGUAGGAAGACCCGCUGAACUUAAGCAUAUCAAUAAGCGGAGGA
rnacentral:misc_RNA from 1 species